GAUCAUUUGUUAGUAUUUUACUAAUAAAUGAAUUUAUUUUCAAAUGAACAGUAAUUAUGUCUAUUUAUUUUAAUGAAAUAUUUUUUAGUUUUGUAAAAUUUACAAAGAUUUAAAUUAAAAUUCUUAAUACAGUGCAAUCUCAAUUUAUGGGAAGGUUAUGUUCUUGAAUAGUGCACACAAUAAGCUUGUAGACAUUUGCUGCUUUAUAAAAAAGACAAAAAAAAAUUCAGUAGUAAAUAAGAAAAAACAUUUUUAUACAUAUAAAAAAAAUUUUUUGACCAUUAUCAAUUGGUUUACAUCAGUUGCAUAUAACCAGGGUGGCUUAUGCAUAGGUACUGUGGAACUGCAGCAUCUCCAGUUUGUCUUAAUAUAUAAAUAUAAUUAUUAAUUUAUUUAUAUUUGCUUGUAAUAAUUAAUUUUAUUAUCAACAUCUUAAGUCUCUU
rnacentral:lncRNA from 1 species